rnacentral:rRNA from 1 species
UACGUAGGGCGCAAGCGUUGUCCGGAAUUAUUGGGCGUAAAGAGCUCGUAGGCGGUUUGUCGCGUCUGCUGUGAAAACCCGAGGCUCAACCUCGGGCCUGCAGUGGGUACGGGCAGACUAGAGUGCGGUAGGGGAGACUGAAAUUCCUGGUGUAGCGGUGGAAUGCGCAGAUAUCAGGAGGAACACCGAUGGCGAAGGCAGGUCUCUGGGCCGCAACUGACGCUGAGGAGCGAAAGCAUGGGGAGCGAACAGG